GCUGUGACAUGUACUUAUAGUCCCAGCUACUUGGGAGGCUGAAACAGGAGGACUGCUUGAGCCCAGGAGUUCUGGGCUAAUGUACACUGUGCCGAUAGGGUGUCUACAUUAAGUUCGGCAUUAAUGUGGUGACUUCCUGGGAUUGGGGGACCACCAGAUUGCCUAAGGAAGGAUGAGCCAGCCAAGUCAGAAAUGGAGCAGUUCAAAACUCCUGUGCUGAUCUCAUCACUUUUAAAUGCUGUUUUUACAUUCUUUUUCAUAUCAUCUUUCAGUUAUU
rnacentral:sRNA from 1 species